ACGCUCGACACCUACGGAGGCAGCAGUCGGGAAUAUUGCGCAAUGGAGGAAACUCUGACGCAGUGACGCCGCGUAUGGGAAGAAGGUUUUCGGAUUGUAAACCAUUUUAGACAAGGAAGAAACAAGACAGUACUUGUAGAAUAAGCUCCGGCUAACUACGUGCAGCACGCCGGACGGUAAUCGUGAGGCGGGUCNGGCGAAGGC
rnacentral:rRNA from 1 species